rnacentral:lncRNA from 1 species
GCCUGUCUGGAUUCAUUCAUGAAACAACAUUUUUUUUAUGAAGGGAGUAUGUGUUAGCUCUAGCUUGUGGCGAUGGCAGUCACAAAGGUGAAUAGUGAUUGCUACUAAAUAUAGUGUUGACUCGGUUACCCUCCUAACAUUGGUAUAGAUUUAUAGUAUAUGGUAUCUAUAUCUAAGUUUAAUAUUAAUAACUAUCUAUAAAGAGCCAAAAUUUCAGGCUGCCAAAUAUUUUCUUCUGCAUGAUCCUGUCCGUGUGUUAGGUUUACCGAUCGCCUCCUUCGUCCAACGUUUCUAGAAGAGCAAAAACAAAAUAAAAAAUAUUCUAGGGUUCCUAAUGCAAAAUCUCAUAUUACUCCGCUCGGUACGAUGGAAGAGAGAAAAAAGAAUAAAAAAUUUUCUAGGUUUCCCAAUGUAAAAUCUCCAAUUUACUUUUCUUUUAUUUUUUAAAUCGACUGAAAAUUAAUAAAUGCAUAGUAAUUUAUAGAAAAAUCUAAAAAUUAUAAAACAAAUUUUGUUCAGCUCCACAUAUGUAGAUCCAUGCAGUAAACAAAAAUAUCACAAAUUUUAGUACACUUUUUUUUGGAAAUGCUUGCCUAUGCUUUUUACUGUAAAAUUAAAAUUGUAGUUAUCUUGCUCCAAUUAUUGGAAGAGAGAAAAAAGAAUAAAAUUUUUUCUAGGGUUCCCAAUGUAAAAUCUCCAAUUAACUUUUCUUUUAUUUUUUAAAUCGGCUGAAAAUUAAUAAAUGCAUAGUAAUUUAUAGAAAAUCUAAAAAUUAUAAAGCAAAUUUUGUUCAGCUCCACAUAUGUAGAUCCAUGC